rnacentral:rRNA from 1 species
GACGAACGCUUGCGGCGUGCUUAACACAUGCAAGUCGAACGGAAAGGCCCUGCUUUUGUGGGGUGCUCGAGUGGCGAACGGGUGAGUAACACGUGAGUAACCUGCCCUUGACUUUGGGAUAACUUCAGGAAACUGGGGCUAAUACCGGAUAGGAGCUCCUGCUGCAUGGUGGGGGUUGGAAAGUUUCGGCGGUUGGGGAUGGACUCGCGGCUUAUCAGCUUGUUGGUGGGGUAGUGGCUUACCAAGGCUUUGACGGGUAGCCGGCCUGAGAGGGUGACCGGCCACAUUGGGACUGAGAUACGGCCCAGACUCCUACGGGAGGCAGCAGUGGGGAAUAUUGCACAAUGGGCGGAAGCCUGAUGCAGCAACGCCGCGUGCGGGAUGACGGCCUUCGGGUUGUAAACCGCUUUCGCCUGUGACGAAGCGUGAGUGACGGUAAUGGGUAAAGAAGCACCGGCUAACUACGUGCCAGCAGCCGCGGUGAUACGUAGGGUGCGAGCGUUGUCCGGAUUUAUUGGGCGUAAAGGGCUCGUAGGUGGUUGAUCGCGUCGGAAGUGUAAUCUUGGGGCUUAACCCUGAGCGUGCUUUCGAUACGGGUUGACUUGAGGAAGGUAGGGGAGAAUGGAAUUCCUGGUGGAGCGGUGGAAUGCGCAGAUAUCAGGAGGAACACCAGUGGCGAAGGCGGUUCUCUGGGCCUUUCCUGACGCUGAGGAGCGAAAGCGUGGGGAGCGAACAGGCCUAGAUACCCUGGUAGUCCACGCUGUAAACGGUGGGUACUAGGUGUGGGGUCCAUUCCACGGGUUCCGUGCCGUAGCUAACGCUUUAAGUACCCCGCCUGGGGAGUACGGCCGCAAGGCUAAAACUCAAAGGAAUUGACGGGGCCCCGCACAAGCGGCGGAGCAUGCGGAUUAAUUCGAUGCAACGCGUAGAACCUUACCUGGGUUUGACAUGGAUCGGGAGUGCUCAGAGAUGGGUGUGCCUCUUUUGGGGUCGGUUCACAGGUGGUGCAUGCCUGUCGUCAGCUCGUGUCGUGAGAUGUUGGGUUAAGUCCCGCAACGAGCGCAACCCUUGUUCACUGUUGCCAGCACGUUAUGGUGGGGACUCAGUGGAGACCGCCGGGGUCAACUCGGAGGAAGGUGGGGAUGACGUCAAGUCCUCAUGCCCCUUAUGUCCAGGGCUUCACGCAUGCUACAAUGGCUGGUACAGAGAGUGGCGAGCCUGUGAGGGUGAGCGAAUCUCGGAAAGCCGGUCUCAGUUCGGAUUGGGGUCUGCAACUCGACCUCAUGAAGUCGGAGUCGCUAGUAAUCGCAGAUCAGCAACGCUGCGGUGAAUACGUUCCCGGGGCU